UCCGAAUUGGUGUAGUGGCUAACAUUUGACGCUCUCAUGGUCCGUAUAUCUAUAUGUACUAAGACGAUCCGUCAAGCCCGGGGUUCGAUUCCCCGAUUCGGAG